rnacentral:rRNA from 1 species
UACGUAGGGCGCAAGCGUUGUCCGGAAUUAUUUGGGCGUAAAGAGCUCGUAGGCGGUUUUGUCGCGUCUGUCGUGAAAGCCCACGGCUUAACCGUGGGUCUGCGGUGGAUACGGGCAGACUAGAGGCAGGUAGGGGAGAAUGGAAUUCCCGGUGUAGCGGUGAAAUGCGCAGAUAUCGGGAAGGAACACCGGUGGCGAAGGCGGUUUCUCUGGGCCUGUACUGACGCUGAGGAGCGAAAGCGUGGGGAGCGAACAGG